UACGUAGGGUGCAAGCGUUAAUCGGAAUUACUGGGCGUAAAGCGUGCGCAGGCGGUUUUGUAAGCCAGAUGUGAAAUCCCCCGGGCUUAACUUGGGAACUGCAUUUGGGACUGCAAGGCUGGAGUACGGCAGAGGGAGGUGGAAUUCCACGUGUAGCAGUGAAAUGCGUAGAGAUGUGGAGGAACACCGAUGGCGAAGGCAGCCUCCUGGGCUAGUACUGACGCUCAUGCACGAAAGCGUGGGGAGCGAACAGG
rnacentral:rRNA from 1 species